rnacentral:lncRNA from 1 species
UCUUAAAACCUAUCUAUAUCGGAAAAACCUAAUGUUUCUUGGUGCCGCAAGGUAACAUAACCACUAAUCUCAAAAGCCAUCAUUUUAUGCCCACCUAUCUCACCCUUGAUCCUCAUCAAGAUAGGAUCCAAUACUUGCUUCUCUUUUAUUUUAGAACCAGAAAAUGACUGUGCCACCAUCUCAACAAACACACCACCAUCC